CGCCAAGACUCCUACGGGAGGCAGCAGUGGGGAAUAUUGCACAAUGGGGGAAACCCUGAUGCAGCCAUGCCGCGUGUGUGAAGAAGGCCUUCGGGUUGUAAAGCACUUUCAGUAGGGAGGAAGGUAGUGUAGUUAACACCUGCACUAUUUGACGUUACCUACAGAAGAAGCACCGGCUAACUCCGUGCCAGCAGCCGCGGUAAUACGGAGGGUGCGAGCGUUAAUCGGAAUUACUGGGCGUAAAGCGCAUGCAGGCGGCCUGUUAAGUCAGAUGUGAAAGCCCGGGGCUUAACCUCGGAAUUGCAUUUGAAACUGGCAGGCUAGAGUCUUGUAGAGGGGGUAGAAUUUCAGGUGUAGCGGUGAAAUGCGUAGAGAUCUGAAGGAAUACCAGUGGCGAAGGCGGCCCCCUGGACAAAGACUGACGCUCAGAUGCGAAAGCGUGGGGAGCAAACAGGAUUAGAUACCCUGGUAG
rnacentral:rRNA from 1 species